CUCAGUAUAACCAUUUAUUUAAAAGCAAUAAUUCAGAUUGCAUAUGAGCUAAUUACUGGGCUUUUAAUAGCUGACUUAUUUUCAAAUUAAUAUAAUUUUGGUGGUUUGUUCUUUCUGAACAUCUUUGUUUCAGGAGUCUUCAGUUUUGUGCAUUAACUUUUUAAAAAAGUUUGGUAAAGAUCUUUGGUUUUCAAACAUCUUUGUAAAACUGAACUUUCUGUAACUUCAGAGGUUUUCCAGUUCCUUCCCAUUGUCUUCAGAGGAAAGUAUCUUUUGAGGUUCAUUAAAUGUACUGCUUAUAUUCUGGAUAAUUCCAUAUUUGAUCUUGUCUAGGAUGCACAAGAAUUCUUCCUGUCAAUGUACUCAUAGAAAGCGGUCAUAUUUAUGUGAGUAAAUUCAGGGGACUUGGGGAACAGCUUACAUGAGCUUUAGUGAAAAAUCAUUAUGUAUGUUUUCUUUAUAUCAUAAGAUUCUAAGAAAAAUUACCAAGUGAAAGGAAAAACACAAUAGUGAAUUUGCAUAAGACAACCAAAUAAAAGGUUAAAAAUAUGUUAAUGAUGAAAAAAAAAGUCACACUGUUCUGCCAAUCACAUUGAGCUUAAUGGCUGCUGCUCUGAAAACUGUAUAAAAACUCACCGAACAGGGGUUGCUGCCUCUCCUUCGGGUGCAGGGCAGUCUCAGCAUGUUGGAACAAUAAAUUCCUCUUGCUUUUGCAUUGGUUCCCAGCUCCGAGUUGUUCACUUGGGGGUCCCUGGUAAGCUAAGGCUCAUUAGAGUCCUACAAUACCACAGCUCCAAGCAAAGCUACCACUCUUUUGGUGACUCUUGGUAUCUGCUCAAACCAUGUGGUGAAAUGCCAGAGGGAACCUUACAGCAGACACACCAGGAUCAGUGUUAACAUCACUAAGUCAGGCACUGAUUUAUUUUGUGCCUCUAAAGAGCCCAAAGCAGCUCACAGCACCACAUACAAAGUAUCUCCCAGAACAGAGCCCCAGACCCUGCUCUUGAGUGGUGCUUCAGCUUAUUUAUCCCUUGCUGUGGCUCUUUGUUUGCUACCUCCCAGACUGGUGGUGGAAGCCACUGAAGGCCACUGGGAAGAUGGGCUCAAGAGAGGUGGCUGGAUUAAAGUUAUUAGAAAGGGACUUCCAUGAAUGAAUCCCAGUGCCUUAUAGAAGACAGACCAGAGGGCGCACAUACAAACACACACACACAAAUACACACAUAUCCACAAAAUGUGUGCACAUGCAACAGACACAUACUUGUCGUACAUACACAUUCACACACACACACACACACACACACACACACAAACACAUACAAACAAAUCCUUUAAUGCCCUAGGUCACUCUGGUACUGACAGCCACAAGGCUAUCAAUUGUGAGCUCUGAACCUUUGAAUAGAACCAUAAGUGUAAGCAAACCUCUCUCUUUAAUAAUGUACCCAGCCAGCAGCACUAUUUUUUUUUUUUUUUUUUUUUGNNNNNNNNNNNNNNNNNN
ensembl:lincRNA